rfam:Desulfuribacillus alkaliarsenatis strain AHT28 DSM-24608_Contig_31_85X, whole genome shotgun sequence.
UAGUAAUCGCGGAUCAGAAUGCCGCGGUGAAUACGUUCCCGGGCCUUGUACACACCGCCCGUCACACCACGAGAGUUUGUAACACCCGAAGCCGGUGGGGUAACCCGUAAGGGAGCUAGCCGUCGAAGGUGGGACAGAUGAUUGGGGUGAAGUCGUAACAAGGUAGCCGUAUCGGAAGGUGCGGCUGGAUCACCUCCUUU